rnacentral:rRNA from 1 species
AUUGAACGCUGGCGGCAUGCCUUACACAUGCAAGUCGAGCGAGCGGCGGACGGGUGAGUAAUGCAUGGGGAUCUGCCCGAUGGCGGGGGAUAACUACUGGAAACGGUGGCUAAUACCGCAUACUAUCGGAUGAACCCAAGUGGGAUUAGGUAGUGGGUGGGGUAAAGGCUCACCUAGGCGACGAUCUCUAGCUGGUCUGAGAGGAUGAACAGCCACACUGGGACUGAGACACGGCCCAGACUCCUACGGGAGGCAGCAGUGGGGAAUAUUGCACAAUGGGCGCAACCCUGAUGCAGCCAUGCCGCGUGUAUGAAGAAGGCCUUCGGGUUGUAAAGUACUUUCGGCGGGGAGGCGUUACCCGCAGAAGAAGCACCGGCUAACUCCGUGCCAGCAGCCGCGGUAAUAC